rnacentral:lncRNA from 1 species
CGUGGAUAAGUUUUCUUUAUAGUGGUAGUCUUCUCGGAAACAUCCAAACCCACACCACUGCAAAAUUGUUGGGUGGCCGUCUUCGGCAUAUGCCUGAUCUCUGUCAUCGGGUAGACUCAUAGAUUAGUUAGGUCUCCCUACGAAAUCAUUGCUUGUCGUUAAGCUACUUCUGAGACUCUUGCUCAUGAAAAGUCUUGUCU